CCUCCCCGAGCCCCGCUGCCUCCCGCCUCCCUCCUCCCCGGCGCCCGCCUCCCCGCGGCGUGCCCGCCUCCCUCCCUCCGUCCCCCGGCCGGCAGCCGGGCAGCGGGCGGGCGCUGCCGCCGGCCCCACAGCACCGCGGCCGGGCUGCGCGGAGCGGAGCGGAGCGGAGCGGGGCUGGCUGGGCGGGGAGGGAGGGAGGGAGGGGAGUGGAUGUGUGUGUGUGUGGAAAGAGCGGGGGGGGGCGAAGGGGGGGAAAUCAAAUAAAUAAAUAAGCUCCCCACCAAUAAGAGAGGCAGCGGCUGGCGAGCAGGCUGGGCUCGGCUGGGAGAGGUCCUCGCUCGGCUGCGUGUUUGUUUGUGUUGUGACCAGAGCCGCGAAGUUCAGAGCCCAAACGUGUUGCUCCGCUCCGCUCCACCUGCUCGGCCGGCGGGGGGGUGCCGCUUCGGCCGCCCCGCCGCCCUCCGGGGCCGAAGGACGGGAGAGGAGCGCGGGGCCGCGCCCGCCGCCCGCCCGCCUUCCCCUCAGCCACCGCCGGGGAGGCGACGGACAGGUGUAUCUCCAGAAAAACAAAAAAUUAAUGACAGGAUCAGAAUACACUCUGGAUUUUCUUCCCAUGUGCAGACUACACCUGAAGUGUUGAAUUCACAUACAGCAACACCUUCCUAUGACACGGAAUGGAAUAGAACAGUUCACCAUAUGUAAAUGCAGAGGAUGUUUAAAGCCUAAUAUGACAAUUGUAGCACGGAUAUAUGCUUUUAUAACCUUGAAAAUUCAAUUCCCUGUCUCUGUUAGUGCUCAGAUUUUAGGAGGCCACAGAUCGACACUCUUAAGUACCCUUUG
rnacentral:lncRNA from 1 species